AGCAGCCGCGGUAAUUCCAGCUCCAAUAGCGUAUAUUAAAGUUGUUGCAGUUAAAAAGCUCGUAGUUGAAUUUCGGAAUCGACGGAUUGGUCGCGCCUUCGGUGUGUACUGGUCUUGCCGGUUUCUCCCUUCUGACGAACCACGAUGUCAUUAAUUUGGUGUCGCGGGGAAUCAGGACUGUUACUUUGAAAAAAUUAGAGUGUUUAAAGCAGGCAUUAGCUUGAAUACAUUAGCAUGGAAUAAUGAAAUAGGACGUUUGAUCUUAUUUUGUUGGUUUCUAGGAUCGACGUAAUGAUUAAUAGGGAUAGUUGGGGGCAUUAGUAUUCAAUUGUCAGAGGUGAAAUUCUUGGAUUUAUUGAAGAUUAACUACUGCGAAAGCAUUUGCCAAGGAUGUUUUCAUUAAUCAAGAACGAAAGUUAGGGGAUCGAAGACGAUCAGAUACCGUCGUAGUCUUAACCAUAAACUAUGCCGACUAGGGAUCGGAUGAUGUAAUUUUUAAUGACUCAUUCGGCGCCUUACG
rnacentral:rRNA from 1 species